rfam:Schistosoma margrebowiei strain Zambia genome assembly, scaffold: SMRZ_contig0000217
AUCCAACUGACGAGUACCAAAUAGGAAGAAAGGUGCGUCUUGGAU